ensembl:lncRNA
CAUCCUAAUGCUUGGUGUGUUUACCAAAACACACUGUCCCUAAUGCUUGUAAUAAACACUAGAUAUUCAGAGGUAAUAAUUUAUUACAUUUAAUUCAGUAGAAUGUGAAAUCAGUAUUGACCACAUCAAGCAUUUUACACAGGUUUCUGUAAUGUCAACCUAGAAUGAAUUCUCAGUUGUAUGUUUUACCUUUUCUGCUGACUGGUUUACAAUGGAUGACUGCAACUGUGUCAUUGAAUAUUGCAUAAAGAACAAAUAAGGUGUAAGGCAGAAACAAAUAUCACCUAAUACUAAUGACUACUGCAAACAUAUUGUACGCAUUACGUUCCUGAGGUAGAGAGAGACUCAACACCACUACAAAAUUAGACGGUUCAAUUGUUAUGAAUAUUGCUAUGACAAUCCAAUUUUAAUUUCAGUUUAGUUACAUGUUUAAUGUUUGUCUGAAAAUACUUUACAUUGAUCCAAGUAUUACACUUUUUAAAAAGUUUACAUUUCAAGACUGUUAUGAGGCACAGACAGUAGCAUCCAGGUCAGGGGUUAGGUAGUGUCAGGGGGUAGGUAGGGUCAGGGGGUAGGCAGGGUCAGGGUGUAGGUAGGGUCAGGGGGUAGGUAGGGUCAGGGGGUAGGUAGGGUCAGGGGUUAGGUAGGGUCAGGGGGUAGGUAGGGUCAGGGGGUAGACAGGAUAAAGAGGGGUAUAUAUCUGUGCAGCAGGCGAGGCCAGUGUCAGGGUGUAGGUAAGGUCAUAGGUGAGGCUCCUUCUUCAUCAGGAGACUCCUGUCCUGGCAGCCUCAAGUCCUGACAGACUCCUGUCCUUCCUGGCAGACCGCUGUCCUUCCUGGCAGACCUCUGUCCUUCCUGACAGACCGCUGUCCUUCCUGGCAGACCGCUGUCCUUCCUGGCAGACUGCUGUCCUUCCUGGCAGACUGCUGUCCUUCCUGGCAGACUGCUGUCCUUCCUGGCAGACUGCUGUCCUUCCUGGCAGACUCCCUCCCAUUCACCCCCCAGACACCUUUCUGUUUCUACUGUUCCCAAAGAAAAUGUUCUUCCCAUUGUUGUUGUUCCCAAUUUUGAAAAGAUUUGGUUUCAGAUCCUCAAAAAAAUGUAUCCAGCUGCAUCAUUGAGAGCAUCUUGACUGACUGCAUCACUGCUUGGUACGGUAAGUGCAUCACUGUCGACCGCAUGGCGCUACAGAUGGUGGUGCGGACAGCCCAGUACAGCACUGGGGUCGAGUUCCUUUCCAUUCAGUACCUCCAUAUCAAAACGGUGGGAAAGGAAGACAUGGAAAUAUGUCUAAGACUCAAGCAACUGUUCUCUCUGCUACCGAAUGGCAAGAGGUACCGGAGCACCAAGUCUGAUACCAACAGGCUCCUGAACAGCUUCUACCCCCAAGCCAUCAGACUGCUGAACAGCUUCUACCUCCAAGCCAUCAGACUGCUGAACAGCUUCUACCCCAAAGCCAUCAGACUGCUGAACAGCUUCUACCCCCAAGCCAUCAGACUGCUGAACAGCUUCUAUCCCGAAGCCAUCAGACUGCUGAACAGCUUCUAUCCCCAACCCAUCAGACUGCUAAACAGCUUCUACCCCCAAGUCAUCAGACUGCUGAA